CCGAACCCAAGUCCGUGCCCCAGAAGUUCGGAGCAGCUUCCUUCCGGGUGCUCGGGGGUGGUGGUGGGGGGGUUCAGCUCCCGGUGUAGCUCAUCACCUCCACAAGUAACCCUACUCGCUGACCACCCUCCUUAUGUCCAUAGUGCAUGCUGUCCGCAUGGAGGGCGGGCCCGGCACAGGAAUCUGUAGACAUCAGCUUGUACCUCUGAUGGAAGUGUCCCGAGCAGAGUCCUGCAUGCAUUACGAGCCAGCUACUGCUUCCAGGUGGAAAUGGAUCCUGUGAUCCUUGGGUCAUCUGUGGCUCUGAAUGCCAUGGUAACAGGUUUCAGAGCAGCAACAGACUGGGGGCCAGAGCCAG